AUGAGGGCCCCCGCUCAGCUCCUGGGGCUCCUGCUGCUCUGGCUCCCAGAUAAGGAAGGAGCACACUGGAAUUAUGCUCAAUCCAGUGUGAUGACCCAGUCUCCAUCCUCCCUGUCUGCUUCUGAAGGAAACAGUAUCACUAUCACUUGCCGGGCCAGUCAAGGCAUUAGCAGUUACUUAAACUGGUAUCAGCAGAAACCAGGGAAAGCUCCUAAACUUCUGAUCUAUAGGGCAUCCAGCUUAGAAAGUGGGGUUCCGUCGAGGUUCAGUGGCAGUGGAUCUGGGACAGAUUUCAGUCUCACCAUUAACAGCGUGGAGCCUGAAGAUGUUGCAACUUAUUACUGUCAACAGGGUAACAACUGGCCUCCCACGGUGAUACAAGCCAUAACAUAA